GUUUUGGCUUGUUAAUAUCAAGUUUAGCGUUUUUUUAAAUUAUAUACAGUAAACAUAAUAAAUACAAAUUGUAUAAAUAUGAUAAACAAAAUUAUUCGCGUGUUUAGAAGUAUAUACAGUAAAUACCUUAGCUUAUAGUAUGAAGAAUUUGGAAAAACAGUUAUUUAUGUAAAAUAUAAUCAAAUAAUAGAAAAAUACGUUCAUCCGAUAGAAAUUUUGGAAGUUGUC